UGUGCUUUUCCUGCAGGGACUGAACAAGGGCAGUGUGUGCACAUGUGGGAGUGCCAGAAGCACCAGCGCAAUCCAGAUGUGCCCAGGCCCAUCUGUGUGUGAAAAUGCAGACACACCCACACUAUUUAUCAAUUAGUGUCUGCUGCUGCCAGUGUCACCAGUUCUCUGCCUGAUGAAUGAUGCUAGGCUAGACACGCCACACCCCAAGAACUAAGCCCAGAGAUGGAUCCCAAAGCUGAAGAAUUGGUUUAAUUAAAUUGAAAGCUCUGGUGCUUGUGGUAAUUGCUAUGAAGGAAUCCAUAUCCCAUCAGAACCCUCUCCCCUGGAGUUUGCUCCCUCUACUUUCUCUGCAGCAGAGCCUGCUAGCCAGAGUCAAAGACUGUGUGCAUUUGAAAUCUCCAACCUUUUAAAACAUUACUGUGAAGUUGAAAGUUCCUGGUGUCUUUUGAUUAAACAUCGUGCUAG
rnacentral:lncRNA from 1 species